rnacentral:rRNA from 1 species
AUUGAACGCUGGCGGCAGGCCUAACACAUGCAAGUCGAGCGGAUGAGUGGAGCUUGCUCCAUGAUUCAGCGGCGGACGGGUGAGUAAUGCGUCGGAACGUGCCGAGUAGUGGGGGAUAACGCAUCGAAAGGUGUGCUAAUACCGCAUACGAACUGAGGUUGAAAGUGGGGGACCUUCGGGCCUCACGCUAUUCGAGCGGCCGACGUCUGAUUAGCUAGUUGGUGAGGUAAAGGCUCACCAAGGCGACGAUCAGUAGCGGGUCUGAGAGGAUGAUCCGCCACACUGGGACUGGGACACGGCCCAGACUCCUACGGGAGGCAGCAGUGGGGAAUUUUGGACAAUGGGCGCAAGCCGGAUCCAGCCAUGCCGCGUGUCUGAAGAAGGCCUUCGGGUUGUAAAGGACUUUUGUCCGGGAGCAAAUGCUGGUGGCUAACAUCCACCGGAGCUGAGAGUACCGGAAGAAUAAGCACCGGCUAACUACGUGCCAGCAGCCGCCGUAAAAC